GCAUUUUUGGAAACAUGAAAAAGGUCAUUUUAACAUACAAAAUUAGCCCUGAUAAUAAUAUAUUCAUUGUGAAAUAAUUCUAAAGAUGUAUUGUGUUGCACGAGAUCAAAACAUCCGACUAUGCUUGAAUUAUAAAAAUAAUUUGCAUUUAAUGAUACACCAAAAACAACACUAACAGAUCAAUUGCGUAACAGAUCGGGA
rnacentral:lncRNA from 1 species